rnacentral:lncRNA from 1 species
CUGGAAUGUGCUCUGUUUGAUUCAGGACUUGGAACUAGCUGUACCAUGAGCAAUUACAUGAUGCAUAACUAACAACUUCUACACCCUUCCCAAACUCAUUUGCUUUGAAUCAGUUUGGGCCAUUUAAAAAAUGCAGCAAGUUUCUGUGAGUCAUAAAACUGUGCUGCAGUGGAAGCAUGAAGAAUGCUGAUUAGAGCAGAAAAUGGCUCAGAACCAGCCUAGCUUUCUAACGAUCUCAUGUUCAGGACAAGCGGAGCAGAAUCAUGGCUGCCACAAACCAUUAGGAACAUUCCUAAAGACAGAUAGGCUGAGGUUUCUAUAGAUCAGUUGGAGCAGCUAACUCAUACUUCAGUUUCAACUCUAGUACAUGGGAAACAUCAGGAGUGCACAGCUGGAGACAGAAAAUAGAAGGAAACACCACCUCGGGGUACACUAACAACUCAUGUGAGUUUGAAGUGUUCAUCAAGUUACAGACCACAUGUCUCCUAUUUACAGUUUCCUCUCACAAGGACAUAAUAAGACAUUUUUUCCUUCUGUGUAAGAAGAUGGGCAAACACAACUCCAUAAUGACUAUGGACCACUAAUGAUCAGUGAAGAUAAAAGUGCAGGUAUCAGAUAAAUAGUUAUAGACAUAUUCUUCCUUAAGGACCUUUCAUUUUAACAGAGCUUUUGUUUGACUUUUUGACUCAUGUCUUGCCACAGACAAUUUAACAACUUUUUUUUUUUUUGUUUGUUUUGUUUUUUUUUUAGAGUGAAGCUUGGAAAAUAAGAUUUCUCAUCUGAGAGCGGUAUUGACUUUUAGGGAGAGAAAAUAAGAAAGAAAGCAAGGAAUCCUCCUGAAUCAAGAUUAAAACUGUAAGAAACAAAGCACAAGGUCUAAAAGAAACCUAGUAAGAGCACUUCGGAAUUACUGCAUCUCACCUGAACAAAGUGUUGACAAACUGAAUGUCUGUCAGCCAGCCACCCUGAACUCUCUUUGAUCACCAGAGAGAAAGAGGCUGUCUAGAGGUUGUGUCAAGGUCAGACUCUUAUCUUGAGAGGAAAAGCUCACUCACUCUUCCUUGCAUUGACUACUUCAAGAUUAAAAGUCUAAGUAUCCAAGUUUAAACACUCAAGUUCAAGCAUUUGUUUUUCUAAUCUGUAACAUAUCUAUAAGAAACUGGUUUAGCACAUUAAUAUCGAUGACUAGGUUUAAUAUUAAAGCUAGAAUGAAGUUAGAAUAUUUAAUAUAAAUAUGUUUAAUAUAAAAGCUAGAAAGGAUUGAGAAAAUAAAACAACUUUCUCCCACCUCCA